rnacentral:rRNA from 1 species
GACGAACGCUGGCGGCGUGCUUAACACAUGCAAGUCGAACGGUGAAGCGCCUUCCUUUUUGGUGGGUGUGGAUGAGUGGCGAACGGGUGAGUAACACGUGAGUAACCUGCCCCCUUCUUCUGGAUAACCGCAUGAAAGUGUGGCUAAUACGGGAUAUUCUGGGUCUGUCGCAUGAUGGGUCUGGGAAAGAUAUUGUUUCGGUGGGGGAUGGGCUCGCGGCCUAUCAGCUUGUUGGUGGGGUGAUGGCCUACCAAGGCGGUGACGGGUAGCCGGCCUGAGAGGGUGGACGGUCACACUGGGACUGAGACACGGCCCAGACUCCUACGGGAGGCAGCAGUGGGGAAUAUUGCACAAUGGGCGAAAGCCUGAUGCAGCGACGCCGCGUGAGGGAUGGAGGCCUUCGGGUUGUGAACCUCUUUCGCCAGUGAAGCAGGCCUGCCUCGUUUGUGGGUGGGUUGACGGUAGCUGGAUAAGAAGCGCCGGCUAACUACGUG